rnacentral:misc_RNA from 1 species
GUGAAUCAUCAAAUUUUUGAACGCAAAUUGCGCCUUUUUCGGAAGGCAUGUCUGUUUGAGGGCACCAUUUAACAAAUAAUGUGCAUUUCUGUUUCACACGUGGAUGAGCUUGUCAAAAGGAUGUAUUAUUAUUUUUGGUUUCGCGUAAUAAACAGUUCUAUUCUUGUUUUCUGUUCGAGUGUAGUAUAUUUUUUUCUUCCUGUUGUUGGGAUAAGUGUUUACUCGCAAUGAGU